rnacentral:rRNA from 1 species
GCGGUAACACCGGCGGCCCGAGUGGUGAUCGUGAUUAUUGGGUCUAAAGGGUCCGUAGCCGGUUGGUCAGUCCUCCGGGAAAUCUGAUAGCUCAACUAUUAGGGCUUUCGGGGGAUACUGCCAGACUUGGAACCGGGAGAGGUAAGAGGUACUACAGGGGUAGGAGUGAAAUCUUGUAAUCCCUGUGGGACCACCUGUGGCGAAGGCGUCUUACCAGAACGGGUUCGACGGUGAGGGACGAAAGCUGGGGGCACGAACCGGAUUAGAUACCCGGGUAGUCCCAGCCGUAAACGAUGCUCGCUAGGUGUCAGGCAUGGCGCGACCGUGUCUGGUGCCGCAGGGAAGCCGUGAAGCGAGCCACCUGGGAAGUACGGCCGCAGGGCUGAAACUUAAAGGAAUUGGCGGGGGAGCACAACAACGGGUGGAGCCCUGCGGUUUAAUUGGACUCAACGCCGGACAACUCACCGGGGGCGACAGCAAUAUGUAGGCCAAGCUGAAGACUUUGCCUGAAUCGCUGAGAAGAGGUGCAUGG